rnacentral:rRNA from 1 species
AUGCUAACAACAUUUAAUAUUGUUGGGUACAUAACCGAGAGAGAACUAAAUAAUGGAUGUGGUGUUCCGUCAAUAUGCAACCCGUUGCAUAUUGAGCUCCACUUAAUUUGUAGUUUUGGUUGUUGCACUUUGCCUUGUCAUGCAUAUUUAAACGGGACAUGGAUCAUACUUGUUUGCGCAUCGUGCCAUUUUGUUGUAGUGAUUGUUUACUAUGUUGUUUGCUUUCUUUCCGGUGUACUUCGUCUUGGUAAUCCGGUAACGUCGUGUUGUGAGGAUUCGUUCGACAACGUUCGUUUGUCUUCUUCAUGGACUCGCUCUUCUUCCUUGCGGGAUCUCAGGUGUCGAUGUUACCGAGCAGGUGACGAAACCAAGCUCAAGGAGGAGCUCGAUGAAGAUCUUGUCCUUUGUGUUGUUUCAUUCUAG